rnacentral:rRNA from 1 species
UGGGGAAUCUUGCGCAAUGGGCGAAAGCCUGACGCAGCGACGCCGCGUGCGGGAUGAAGGCCUUCGGGUUGUAAACCGCUUUCAGCAGGGACGAAAUUGACGGUACCUGCAGAAGAAGCCCCGGCCAACUACGUGCCAGCAGCCGCGGUAAUACGUAGGGGGCGAGCGUUGUCCGGAUUUAUUGGGCGUAAAGAGCUCGUAGGCGGUUUGGUAAGUCACGGGUGAAAUCUCCACGCUCAACGUGGAGGCGCCCCGUGAGACUGCUAUGACUAGAGUCCGGUAGAGGAGUGUGGAAAUUCCCGGUGUAGCGGUGAAAUGCGCAGAGAUCGGGAGGAACACCCGUAGCGAAGGCGGCACUCUGGGCCGGUACUGACGCUCAGGAGCGAAAGCGUGGGGAGCAAAACAGGAUUAGAUACC